CCUACGGGUGGCAGCAGUGAGGAAUAUUGGUCAAUGGACGAGAGUCUGAACCAGCCAAGUAGCGUGAAGGAUGACUGCCCUAUGGGUUGUAAACUUCUUUUAUAUGGGAAUAAAAUGUUCCACGUGUGGGAUUUUGUAUGUACCGUAUGCAUAAGGAUCGGCUAACUCCGUGCCAGCAGCCGCGGUAAUACGGAGGAUCCGAGCGUUAUCCGGAUUUAUUGGGUUUAAAGGGAGCGUAGGUGGAUUGUUAAGUCAGUUGUGAAAGUUUGCGGCUCAACCGUAAAAUUGCAGUUGAAACUGGCAGUCUUGAGUACAGUAGAGGUGGGCGGAAUUCGUGGUGUAGCGGUGAAAUGCUUAGAUAUCACGAAGAACUCCGAUUGCGAAGGCAGUUCACUGGACUGCAACUGACACUGAGGCUCGAAAGUGUGGGUAUCAAACAGGAUUAGAUACCCCUGUAGUC
rnacentral:rRNA from 1 species